rnacentral:rRNA from 1 species
AUGGCGUGUCUGGCGCCGCACUUCAAGUGGGCCCCGUCUUCGUUCUCCACCACCCACGCGUACCAGCACCCUUCCUCGUCGUCCUCAUCCUCUAACUCAGCCAGGUGCUCCGGCCGCCGCACCAUCCGUGUCCAGUGCGCUGUCACUUCUGCUGCUGCAGCAGUCGUCGACGCUGACCACGCGGCUAGUGGGCCGCUCCACAUCGUUUACUCGUCUCCGGACUCGGCGCCGGUUCUCCAGAGAAAUUUUGAGUCAACUCUGGCAUCAGAAACAGUUCUGAACAAAGAGGCUGUUGUAACUGCUGCAGCUGCAGAGGCAGUUGCCCUUGCAAGAGCAGCAGCUGAAGCUGCCCAAAAAGUUGUUCACAUGGUACAGAAGAGUAGUUCCCAGCCCGUGUUCAGAAAAAAGGGGGAAGUGGAAAAUUACUUGGCGAAAGAAAUCCUUCGCACAGAAAUGUUAUCGAGCAGGGCAAAUGAAUAUAGUGAUGGUGAACCAUAUGGCAUUCCGAGUGAUGAAGCAGAACUAGAUGAUGAUACACAGGACGCUGAUAACAUAGCUGUUAAGUCUGCACGUCAAUCCGAGAGAAGAGCUCGGAGAACAAGAGCAACAAUGAAGGCAGCUACAAUAGUCCGUAGUUCCCCAAAACUAGCAGCGUCAUCGAAGAAGAAGCGAUCCAAGGGUCCAUCGACCAUGAAUCCUUUAGGUUCCUUAUGGAAGAUGACUGGCCGAAAACUUCUUACAGCAAAGGAAGAGGUUGAGCUCUCGAAUGGUAUUCAGGAUCUCUUGAAGCUGGAGGCAAUUCAAGGUGAGCUUGCAGAAUACAAUGGUGGUCAACCAACCUUCCCACAGUGGGCAGCUGCAGCUGGAACUGAUGAGAACACUUUGCGGAAACGUCUUGAUCAUGGUAUUCAUUGCAAAAACAGAAUGGUAACAUCUAAUGUGCGACUUGUAAUCUCUAUUGCCAGAGAAUUUGAAGGUCCAGGGUUGGAGCUUUAUGAUCUUAUUCAGGAAGGAAUGCAGGGCCUUAUAAGAGGUGCUGAAAAGUUUGAUGCAUCAAAGGGUUUUCGGUUCUCUACAUAUUCGCACUGGUGGAUCAAACAAGCAAUGCGAAAAUCUGUCUCUGAGCAAACCCAGAUAUUUCGCUUACCAGCUCACAUGGUUGAGGCAAGUUAUCGUGUGAAGGAGUGCACAAAACGACUUCGCCGUAAACUUAAAAGGCGACCCUCUAAUGAGGAAAUAGCAGUGGACACUGGUAUGCCAGUCAAACGUGUCGAAGCAGCAGUGAACCUCCCGAAGUAUAGUGUAUCCCUUGAUAGCAAAAUUGGAAGCACAGACAUGACUUACCAGGAGGUCACAGCUGAUCCCAGCGCUGAGACAGCUGAAGAAAUGCUGAAUAGAAUGUCAAUGAAGAAAGAUGUGCAUCAGGCACUGGAUACUCUGAGCCCACGUGAGAGACAAGUUGUCAAGCUUAGGUUUGGAAUCGAUGAUGGUAGGAUAAGAACUUUGCAGGAGAUUGGCAACAUCAUGGGUGUCAGCAGGGAGAGGAUUCGGCAGAUCGAAUCGGGUGCAUUUCGGAAACUGAGAGGCAAGAAAAAGGUGAAGUGUUUGAUGGAUUAUCUGGUGCCUGUAGGCAAUUGGUGA